AUUGAACGCUGGCGGCAGGCCUAACACAUGCAAGUCGAACGCCGUAGCAAUACGGAGUGGCAGACGGGUGAGUAACGCGUGGGAACAUACCCCCCGGUUCGGAAUAACUCAGGGAAACUUAGAGCUAAUACCGGAUACGUCCGAGGUUUUAAUUCGACCUUGGAGAAAGAUUUAUCGCCGGAGGAUUGGCCCGCGUCUGAUUAGCUUGUUGGUGAGGUAAUGGCUCACCAAGGCGACGANCAGUAGCUGGUCUGAGAGGAUGAUCAGCCACAUUGGGACUGAGACACGG
rnacentral:rRNA from 1 species